GACAGAGGGUGCAAGCGUUGUUCGGAAUUACUGGGCGUAAAGCGUGUGUAGGCGGUCCACUAAGUCGGGUGUGAAAGCCCUGGGCUCAACCCAGGAAGUGCACUCGAAACUGGCGGGCUUGAGUAUGGGAGAGGUUGGUGGAAUUCUCGGUGUAGAGGUGAAAUUCGUAGAUAUCGAGAGGAACACCGGUGGCGAAGGCGGCCAACUGGACGAAUACUGACGCUGAGACACGAAAGCGUGGGGAGCAAACAGG
rnacentral:rRNA from 1 species